rnacentral:rRNA from 1 species
AGAGUUUGAUCCUGGCUCAGGAUGAACGCUGGCGGCGUGCCUAACACAUGCAAGUCGAACGGAAGUAAGACUUUCGCUGAACUUCGGUUCAGUUGUUUUACUUUAGUGGCGGACGGGUGAGUAACGCGUGGAUAACCUGCCAUACACAGGGGGAUAACAGUUAGAAAUGACUGCUAAUACCGCAUAAGCGCACGAGGAGGCAUCUCCUUGUGUGAAAAGCCUUUACGGUGUAUGAUGGAUCCGCGUCUGAUUAGCCAGUUGGCGGGGUAACGGCCCACCAAAGCGACGAUCAGUAGCCGGCCUGAGAGGGUGGACGGCCACAUUGGGACUGAGAGACGGCCCAAACUCCUACGGGAGGCAGCAGUGGGGGAUAUUGCACAAUGGGGGGAACCCUGAUGCAGCGACGCCGCGUGAGUGAAGAAGUUAUUCGUAAUGUAAAGCUCUAUCAACGGGGAAGAAGAAGACGGUACCCGAAUAAGAAGCACCGGCUAAAUACGUGCC